UACAGAGGUCUCAAGCGUUGUUCGGAUUCAUUGGGCGUAAAGGGUGCGUAGGCGGCGCGGUAAGUCGGGGUGUGAAAUCUCGGAGCUUAACUCCGAAACUGCAUUCGAUACUGCCGUGCUUGAGGACUGGAGAGGAGACUGGAAUUUACGGUGUAGCGGUGAAAUGCGUAGAUAUCGAUAAGGAAGACCAGUGGCGAAGGCGGGUCGCCUGGACAGUUCCUGACACUGAGACACGAAGGCCAGGGGAGCAAACGGG
rnacentral:rRNA from 1 species